rnacentral:rRNA from 1 species
UGGGGAAUUUUGGACAAUGGGCGCAAGCCUGAUCCAGCAAUGCCGCGUGCAGGAUGAAGGCCUUCGGGUUGUAAACUGCUUUUGUACGGAACGAAAAGCCCUGGGUUAAUACCCUGGGGUCAUGACGGUACCGUAAGAAUAAGCACCGGCUAACUACGUGCCAGCAGCCGCGGUAAUACGUAGGGUGCGAGCGUUAAUCGGAAUUACUGGGCGUAAAGCGUGCGCAGGCGGUUUUGUAAGACAGAGGUGAAAUCCCCGGGCUCAACCUGGGAACUGCCUUUGUGACUGCAAGGCUAGAGUACGGCAGAGGGGGAUGGAAUUCCGCGUGUAGCAGUGAAAUGCGUAGAUAUGCGGAGGAACACCGAUGGCGAAGGCAAUCCCCUGGGCCUGUACUGACGCUCAUGCACGAAAGCGUGGGGAGCAAACAGGAUUAGAUACCCUGGUAGUCCACGCCCUAAACGAUGUCAACUGGUUGUUGGGUCUUAACUGACUCAGUAACGAAGCUAACGCGUGAAGUUGACCGCCUG